AUUGAACGCUGGCGGCAUGCUUUACACAUGCAAGUCGGACGGCAGCACAGAGAAGCUUGCUUCUUGGGUGGCGAGUGGCGAACGGGUGAGUAAUAUAUCGGAACGUACCGAGUAAUGGGGGAUAACUAAUCGAAAGAUUAGCUAAUACCGCAUAUUCUCUGAGGAGGAAAGCAGGGGACCUUCGGGCCUUGCGUUAUUCGAGCGGCCGAUAUCUGAUUAGCUAGUUGGUGGGGUAAAGGCCUACCAAGGCGACGAUCAGUAGCGGGUCUGAGAGGAUGAUCCGCCACACUGGGACUGAGACACGGCCCAGACUCCUACGGGAGGCAGCAGUGGGGAAUUUUGGACAAUGGGCGCAAGCCUGAUCCAGCCAUGCCGCGUGUCUGAAGAAGGCCUUCGGGUUGUAAAGGACUUUUGUCAGGGAAGAAAAGGCUGUUGCUAAAAUCAAUAGCUGAUGACGGUACCUGAAGAAUAAGCACCGGCUAACUACGUG
rnacentral:rRNA from 1 species